GUGUUGUUACCCGCUCGAACUUAAGCAUAUCAAUAAGCGGAGGAAAAGAAACUAACAAGGAUUCCCCUAGUAACUGCGAGUGAAGCGGGAAAAGCUCAAAUUUAAAAUCUGGCGGUCUUUGGCCGUCCGAGUUGUAGUCUGGAGAAGUGCUUUCCGCGCUGGACCGUGUAUAAGUCUCUUGGAACAGAGCGUCAUAGAGGGUGAGAAUCCCGUCUUUGACACGGACUACCAGUGCUUUGUGAUGCGCUCUCAAAGAGUCGAGUUGUUUGGGAAUGCAGCUCAAAAUGGGUGGUGAAUUCCAUCUAAAGCUAAAUAUUGGCGAGAGACCGAUAGCGAACAAGUACCGUGAGGGAAAGAUGAAAAGCACUUUGGAAAGAGAGUUAAACAGUACGUGAAAUUGCUGAAAGGGAAACGCUUGAAGUCAGUCGCGUCUGCCGGAACUCAGCCUUCCUUUUGGUUGGUGCACUUUCUGGUAGACGGGCCAGCAUCGAUUUUGACCGUAGGAUAAGGGCUGGAGAAAUGUGGCACCUUCGGGUGUGUUAUAGUCUUCAGUCGCAUACUACGGUUGGGAUCGAGGACCGCAGCGCGCCGCAAGGCAGGGGUUCGCCCACUUUCGCGCUUAGGAUGCUGGCAUAAUGGCUUUAAACGACCCGUCUUGAAACACGGACCAAGGAGUCUAACAAACCUGCGAGUGUUUGGGUGGAAAACCCGAGCGCGUAAUGAAAGUGAAAGUUGAGACCUCUGUCGUGGAGGGCAUCGACGCCCGGACCUGACGUUCUCUGACGGAUCCGCGGUAGAGCAUGUUUGUUGGGACCCGAAAGAUGGUGAACUAUGCCUGAAUAGGGUGAAGCCAGAGGAAACUCUGGUGGAGGCUCGUAGCGAUUCUGACGUGCAAAUCGAUCGUCAAAUUUGGGUAUAGUAGCGCGAGAACGACGCGCGAUNANUCC
rnacentral:rRNA from 1 species